rnacentral:lncRNA from 1 species
AAAAACAUCAAGGCUCAUGUCUUUGUCUUCACAUUUCUGCUGGUUUGCUCUUUUAUUUCGCUCAACUUGGUCAGAAUUAUUUCACUGCAUAUCAAUUUAAAACAGCCACAGAAUGAGGAAAGUGCAGCUUUCACUCUAUCUGCUGCUGUGGACUCAAACUGUAGAGAGUUUAAUUGAUAAACGGGUGAAAUUAGGAGAAAAUGUGACUUUAGACUGUCAAAUUGGUGUAAAAGAGAUGUAUUGGGUUUUCCAGAAACUGAUAGAUUCUCCAGUGCUGAUACUGAGAACUUACUCAUCAGAAUCUACAGCAUCUUUUAUACCAGAGGACAGACUCAGAGACAAAUAUUCAUCACUCACUUUGAGCCGUUUGUUUAUUAGUAGCAUAACUAUUGAUGAAUUAGGAAUAUAUUACUGUAUAAAAAGAGACCAUAGAUCUAUACAGAUCACCAACGGCACCAGACUCUACAUCACUGAAACCGAGUGCAACAAGCAACAAGCACAAGUUGAUAAAUCCCUCGAGAUUCAGAAGAUUCUGACUGCUGCAUCCUUUCUCAUAAACAUUGUGCUGAUUAUUGCAAUAAUAGGUUUGGUAAUGUUCAAGCUUCAGAAGCCCACAAAAAGUCGACAACAAUGCCAGAAUGUUGAACCUGUUGCUAGCACAGAUGCUCAAGAGUUUUCUGAAGUGGAGUUUCAUCUGCACAACCCGACCAGAAACACAUUUGGGAAGAAACAAAACAAG